AGGGGCUGCGGGUCAGCGGGAAGAACAACCGCCGUGCCCAGCGAUUCCCACAGCCAGGGGAGAAGGAGCCUGCACCGACCCCAUUCCUCCGUGCAUUUUUUUUAAAGCCUUUGCCUGGCUCUCCGUUGCCCAGUCAAUCGUGCUUUGCGUUAUCCCAAAGCCUCGAGGAGCUGGGAGAAUGCUGCGGGCCGGUCCCGCCGGAUGCAGCCUGGGAAACCGCAGAGAAUCACGCUUCCCCUCUGCUCCUCCCGUACCAUUUAUCAUUAAAAGGGAAAUUUACUUCUUCCUCUACGACCCGGGCUCAAACUGGCGCUUCCCCUCAUCCCGAGUACAUUCGGUGCUCGAAAAGGGACAUCUCCGGUCGCUGUUUGCCUCAGGACUUCCUUUAUUCCCCUCUCAGCAGGAGGAGAGGUGCAGGGGAGGGAUGUACGGCCAGGCUGGGACAGCUCCUGCCUCUCCUGCUCCCUCCUCGUCCUCCCCCUUCCUAUUCAAUGAGGCCAAGCUGGGAAACGUGUUUGCCACCCACUCCCCAAGUGUCUGUGCUGAGACUUCCCAAGCUCUGGGGCAAACAGGGGCUGCUCCCUCCAGGCCUCCACUGCCCACUGUGCCCCAUCCCAGCAGGAGAUGUUCUCCCGUCCCUUGAGCCUCAGGUCUGCCCCAGCAGCAGGAAUGACUGCUGCCUGUGGGGAGCUGCUCUGCCUCUAUCUCACAGGCAUAACAUUAUCUCUAUUUUUAUAGAAAGGGUGCAUGAACUAGGCUUGGUUAAGGGAUAAAUCCCAGCUAAAUUUAAACUUCCUGUCUUAAGGCUGCUAAAUGUCUUUAAAAAAUGCCACCGAGUGGCUUAUGUAGAAAUAUUUAUUUAUACUUUUUUUUCCUUUAACUUAAAUAUACACACUCAAAAGUGUUCAGGUAUGAACCUGAACUACAUCAGCUAAUUUUUGAAGCUUUGGGCCAUCCAUGAUCCUUUGGCUGCCAUGUCCCUGAACCACCCAGCAGUGCUGGGUACUCCCAGCCCCUAUGGAAAGGGCAGUCAUAGCUCACUGUGCUGCCCCAGCCCUCACAGAGUUUUCUGUCACCAGCUGUAAGUCUGAAGAAAAAAAAUUGCAAAAUUCCUGGCUACAGCCUGGGGAGCCUCAGCCCCUGCAAGCAGGGUCCUCGUGACCCAGCACAGUUGUGAGCACCCCCAGGUCUGGCAGUGACAUGCAGGAACUCCUGUGUUCCUUGUGGUCACCUCUGUGACCUGCCUGCGUUCACAGCUGAGCCCAUGGACCCUUUUUAAUGCACAUACUGCCCUAACAUCUAAAAGGGUUUUUAACUUCCCUGCUCCCCAAAUCCAGGGCAUGCAGCCUGCUCUGACAGCAUCCCAUCUCUGACAGCCUGCUCUGCUUCCCUCACCAGCCCAGACCCCCCUCCCUGCAACAGUCAUAAAGAACUGCUGGAAGGCUCCCACACAGAAAUAAACCAUUUACAAGCUCCCAUGGCCUUGUAUUUAGGGCCAAGGUUAAUGGUGAGGGGAAAAUCUGGGUGCAGAGGAAAAGACUGUUGGAUCCGAAGGUUGGAAGGAGGAAAUUUUGGCUUAAAUGACCCAUGCCAGGCUUAAAAUGCAGCUCAGCAGGGACUGUGCUGUGCCAGGUUUUGGGGCAGCAGGAUAGGUGAAGAUGUUGCCCACAACCUCUUGCUCAGCAUCCCCCCCAUCCCUGAGGCUGCUCUGGCCCUGCCGGGGCACCCUGGGAUUUUGUGGGUGACCUCAAGAGAUUCAGUUACUCUCAUCCAUUCGAGGGUGAGCUGCCAAAACCAUGGCUUCAGCUGGGAUUGAAGCACCUGCAGCCAGCCUGAGCCACCCUCACCUCCCUGCCUUGCUCUGCCAGAGCGGGGCUUGUAGAAUCUGAGGCAAAACUCCACUGGAGGAUGAGAAUUUUGGAUGUGGAACGGAAAUCAAGCCCAGCAUUUGUGUGCAGCCUUCAACCUACAGCAAUAUCCACCGCACCCUACAGACUCCACUUGGGUAAUUUCAUGGGAACAGAGAAUUGAAGGCAAACUCACCCCAAACCCAAGCCCUACCACACCCAGGCCUGUGCUCUGGUGGUGUCACUGCCACAGUUCCUCUUCCACCCCUCCAGCUGAACCCAUCCCCACCACGGCUGGUGCCUCGCUCGCAGCAGGCUGCUGUGGGCUGGGCUCAGCUCCAUCGCCCCAGGGACACCUGCAGGCUCUGCAGAGGAGUGACAAAAUGACAAAUCCAGGUCGUGGAUGUUGCUGGUGCAGGAUGAGGUUGGGUAUUUAUAUAUUUAUACCCACCAGGUAUGGCAUUUACUUAUUUAUCUCUAGGGUUUGCUUGAGAUCUCAGGGCAGAACGUCAGACUUGCCUGUGGUGCACGGGUGUGUGUGCUGGGGAUCUUGGCUUGGCUGGGCUGUGCAGAGGGGAAGCCAGGACAGAUGAAGGAGUUAAAUAUGGAAACAAGAGCCAGAAAUACAGCAGUAACUGGACAAAAUCCUUUGGAGACAAAUUGUUCUAAACUAACUCAGGCUAUGAUACUGUUAUCUGCUCUGCAAGAAAGAGCAGGGUUAUCUCUUUUUUUUCCCCCCCUCCUCCUUCUUGUCCUAGGAAGCUAAAAAGAAGAGCCCAAAGCCCACUGCAAGGUUCUUCAGGACUGUGUGUCCUUGAACCAUUAGCUCGUAGGUACAAUUUAACUGCCACAUCACUCAUCUUGGCCCUGAUUAGACCCAGAUGAACACUUUCAAUAUUAAUAGUCAGAUGAUUUAAUAAAGCUGCACAAGCAGUAAAAGUAACAAUACACUUCCAUAAACGGGUUCCAGAUGUUGCCAAGGCAAAUGCUAAACAUCAAAAUACAAACUUCAAAAAAAAAAAAAGUUAGAAAAAAAAAAAAAGCUGGAUAAGCAAAACUUGGAACAAACUAUAAACUAAUUAAAUGUGGGUUGAGUUUUCCAAAAAUAAAUUGAAGCCAUAAGGAUGUGAUGUGAGCCAAUAAAUAGUACAGUUAGUCAAAGUUACUGUGGAAUGACAGUUGGAAAGAGGGUUUGAAGUCAUUGAUAGGUGGGCUCAGCAAGCUUGGCUUCCCAUCAAUAGGAAGGCUUGUUCUCCUGUGCACGAGAGCAGGAUCAAAUCUCCUGGUAUCUAUAACUGGGACCCCAGAGAGGUUACUGAGAGAAUAUGAGAUGAUUUUCUAGUCAGGGAAUAAUGGAAAAAUGAUGCCAGGAGUGCCUGUGUCUCUCUUGCAAUAGCAGCAGGGGUGAUACCACCACCCAAGGACACCGGGAUAUUUUUCCCUGCAUGUUGGGGCAGCCUUCCAGGCUCUCAUUGCCCACAGGGCGUCCACAACCUCUGCUUGGCCACCUGCAAAGCCCGUGGAAACACCACUGCUGUAGUCACAAACCCACCCUCUUCCCCAUACAGGAGCCAUUGAAAACAGCUCUCUGAGAGAAUUCCACCCCAGCCCCAUCACUGCUGUCACAGAAGCAGCCACCCACAGCAGAUGAGCUUUCUGCCAGCAGGACUGCACCUGUAAGAACAGAGAGGGGGAUUUUGUGAGCCACCAUCCACCCCUGCAGCCCCAGAGAGCAGGAGAGGUGGAGCAGACCAAAUUGAGCCAGAAAAUCUUAAUAUCCCAGUUUUUCCCUCUGCAAGGCACAAGCCACUGGCUCUCCCAGGAAAUCCAUCAGUGCUGCAUCCCGAUCAGGGGACCAACCCAGGCUCCACCCUCAGGUAUGUGGUCCCACAUGGUCCUGCAUUAUAAAUACUGCAUCUGGCAGAGUACAGUAUGGAGCAAGGAAUGAGCCAGAAAUGUUUCCUGGUGCAUAAAAAAGGACUGAUUUUGAUUGUGUUAGACACCAGUUCUUCCAGUGCCAGGAAGACAUGCAGUAUGCAUUUCUGGUUUGCUUGGACCUUCUUCAAACAGGCUGGUAACUGACUUAUUCUACCACUUAUUUUUCCUUUGUGAAAAUAUCCCUUUAAAUUCAGUGUUUAGCAAAUACUGCUUAGUCCCAUUACAAAGUAAAUUGGGUAUGGAUCAUAACAGCAGGCUUCUCCAGUCUCUUUCAGAUGCUUAAAUUACAUCAUGAUCUAACUUCACCCAGGGGAGGGACAAGCUCUACAGAUUGCUGUCCGUCCUUCUGCUUUGGUAAUCUCCGGUAUUUCUCGGGUGCCUUUCACAAGUUUUCUGUGUAUCAGCACAAUGACUCUGCCUUUGGGGCGUGGGGGUGUUUUGUACUGAGGUACCCCAGCAUCCAGCAGCACCCAGGCAGUGCCAGGGGCCAGCGAGGAGAUGCCUGGCGCUCGGCAGGGAGAAUUUGGCCAGAGCAGCUUCUCUUUGAUUUUGGUCAGCUGAUGUCUGGGUGAGGACAUGGGGCUGUGCCUGCCCUCGGAGCCACUUGUCUCCUCCAUCCACUCUGACCAGAUCUUGAGUUUCUUUCGCAGAUUUCACUUUCUGUCUCCCAGAGCUGCUCCAGCCCUUUGUGUCCCUGGGGGUGGGAUGCCGGCUCCGCUCGGUGUCCAGCGCUGGGGGCUGGCAGGGGCAGCCUGUGCCGCUGGGCCAGCGGGGAUGCCGGUGGCGGGGGGGGCUGCAGGGGCAAUUGUUUGCCACAUUGUGCUCUCGCUUGUGUUUAAAAACAACAACAGCUCAACUGACUCAUAGGUCCUACGGCCUCUGAGUCAUUUUUUAUUUCUGGAUUUCACUGCUCUGCCCUUUGCAAUGAAGGGAGUUGCAUGCUCACACACACACACACACACACGCACACACACACACACAUCAAGUUCACAUUUGUUUUUCCCCUAUAAAAACAAAACGAUUUCCAUACCAUUAGCGAAACAGAAAUGAUUUGACUUCGCGUACCCUGGCUUUUAUUUUCCAUUGUAUAAACUCUGCAGAUGAAAUAAUGAUGGUUGUAAAGUAAACCUCUCUUUUUUUUUUUUUUUUUUUUUUCCUUUCCCUUUCCAGGCAGCCUCUUUUCGAAAUAGCAAUAGGGAGUCACAGACUUGGCUUGUGCUGCGCCUGUAGUAAUUAACCCCUUCAUCCCUGGCUUUUCCUCUGUUGGAAGUUAGCCACGGCGUGGGUGAAGGCAUCAGCAGGUCUCCUCUGGGACUAGAAGCAAAGCGGGGGAGCAGAGCAGGGAGGGAAAUGUGGGAAAGGAGGCCAAGAGCCGCUCCAGGCAGAGCAGUGGUGUGUGCCUGGAGCUAUACACUCGUGGGCUGGACAGCUUUCCUGGGAGAGCCAGAGUGCUGGCACUGCAGGGCCAGAGGUAGCUUCAGUCUUCCUACACCCCCCACUUUUUUUUGGGUUUAAAUCAGCCCUACCAUUUUGUGUUUAGCCUGGCAGCCCCAUCCUGGGUCACUUCCCUUCCUCCCCACUCCCCAGGGAUCACCAGUGAAACGUUCUCUCUCCACACGCCACUGCAGAAAUAACCUAUGGUAAAUAAUUAAUCACCUAAUCUUGCUCUUUUUGUUUACAGGGCUGUUGUGAUUUCACCAAGCACUCGUAAGGAGGAGUGUUACUGGGGUGAGGUAACACCUGACACAGCAGCAGAGCCAGCUGGAGCUGGGUGUGCGAGCAUGCCCCUGUCCCGCAGGACGGGCUGAGCUGCCCUCCCCACGAGGCUGUGAGCUCUCCUUCCUCAUAGACCCUCACCAUCACGUACAAUCUGUCUGUCUUCAAGGCCUCCACACGUGCCACAAACAUUUUUCCUAAUCACAUUUAUCGUGCAACAGCACAACCCUGCAUCCCCCCAGCACCGGGUCAGAUGCUUCACUGAUGCCUGGCCCGGGCGGGUUGGUGACACUGACUGAGUUACUGUUCCUCUUCCCAGACUGGGUGAUGUGUUUUAUAUUAUUUCUCUUGGAUUUAUUAAGCAUUAUGUAACUGGCUAACCAAUCCCGCAUGCGAUGCAAUCGUGGCUGAUUUCAUGUCAGUGGAAAGUAAACAAAAAAAUUGCUCUGAAGUGGCUAAGCUGAAAUUCAUUUCCACAUGCAGAGCAAUUCCUGAAGGAUCCUUCCCAUCUCCUCGUGGUUAAUUUGCAUCCAAGCUCUCAUGCAACCCAUUUGAAAAGAGUUAUGGAAAAAUUGCACAUAGAACAUGACAGUGUGUUACGAGGAAAAAUUAUAAUGAUGAAGUUUAUUUUACUUAAAUAUUUUUAAGUAAGUUUGUUGAUUUCUCCUGUGCCUUGAAAUGUGUGACACUUGCCUAUUUUUUGUCUUUCAGCUGAGGAACUCAAAAUGUGAAAGUUGCUCCCCAAAGAAAGUUUGGCAUUAAAGUCUGAAAAGCCAGGCAAGCCAACCCUGCAGUCCUGAGGUCCCGAAGCCCAGCAGGACCCAGCCCAACAUGACAAGGAAGAUGUUCUGCCCUUGCUGAGCUUUGGAAGGACUGUAAAUGUCAGGCUCUGCAUGAAUCCUGGAUUUCCGAGAAUAGAUGGAAUUGAAAUUGAAGGAUACCAUCCAAAUAGUAUCCUGCCUCUGGACACCUCCUGAGACAUGCCACAAUCUGAAUAUGCUGAACAGUGCUUCUGCCCAAGAGCUACCUCCCAAGCCACAGCCUGUUGCAGAGCUGACAGCCCAGGCAAGGGUGAAAGGAAGGCUCAGAUGUGAUGAUGCUGUUCUACAAACAGGGAUCCUAAGCAAGCAGCAUUUUCUGCUGCAUCCAUCACACACCAAGGACAUCACAUGCAGACAGAUGCCAGGCUCUUCAGUGGGGAUCAGCCUUUGAAGACCAACAGUACAACCUGGCAUCACUUCAGCUGCCGGAUGCCUCUGGAGCACGAAUACCUUCAGCUCUGGAGGAAUUACUCUGUAGAGGGAAAUAGGAGCAGUUUGACAGCCUGACUCAUGAUCUUUGUAUUAUUAUUACUGGUAGUGAAACUAUGAUAGGAUCCAGGAGCCUGAACCAUGGAUCAGGAAUGUGCUUUUGAAGAGAAACUCCGGGGCUUCCUGCUUUGGCUUGUGUUACAAGGCAGUCUUAAGGCAGGCACACAUGGGGGUUUUUUCAAUAAGCAGCCAAACUGGAAGUUGUGAAGGGUGGCCAGUCCCUGGGGGUGGGCUAGAGGCACCCUAAAAGUUAUCAGCUAAAAUAUGUGUGGUGUGGAUGGUGGGUUCUCAGCUCCAGGGUGUUGCUCCAUUAAUCCAUUCUGUCCUGAAGCUCCCUGCUUUGGAGCACCGGCACAGCCAGAUCCUGCACAGGAUACACAGUCAGCAGGAAUAUUGGCUGGUUUACUCUCUCUUCCUGAGGUUACUGAAAGGCUGAAGGUGUUGCAGGAUAGAUGCAAAGCAGAGCCACUGCUUUAGGUGUUUUCAUUCUGGUUCUCAGUAGCAUGAUGGUUGUCGUUAGUAGUUUUAUUAUCUUUUAAAUCUAAUUAUUUCUAAGAAAUUGAAAGAUGAGGAACUCAAAAUGAAGAUAGUGAUAAAUAAUGUUUUGACAAAGGGGAAAAUAUCUGAAAUAUUUCUCAGUAAUAUGGCUUUUUUUGGAGGUGUGUUAUUUGCUAGAGCAACACAGACUGUCGAAAAAUCCAAUCAGAGCAUAUAAAAGAAAAGUUUAUGAGGUAAUAUAGCUUUCUUCCAUCAAAAAGCAGUUUAUUCAGUAUAACAGUAGGAUUAAAACAAAUGGAUUUACAGAAUAGAAAAGAUGGAGUUCCCUGCUUUCCAGAGGCUGUAAUGGGAGUCAGUGCAACUUCAGAGACAGAAGGGACUUGUAGGUAGGAAGUUGAGUAGAGUUUGCCUUAAGUUGAAGAACAAGGGACCUGCUGCCAAGUGAAGAUGCUGAAGAGCAGGAGAGUGUCCUGGUUAGACUGACCUGCAGGAGGUUGGACUCACAUCCUGGAAAGAGGGGAUCCAGGGAGACCCUGGGUGCAUGAGUAGUUGUGCCUAGUUAGGGGGGAAGCACUACAGCUUAUUUUGACCAAAGUAGCACAAGUCCUGGAAGUUCUCCUGGGAGCAGCAUUGUGCUGUGAGAAAAUACUGGUAUCCCACUUUGCAGGCUGAGGUAGGGAAACACGGCUCAGGAAGAGGACUUUGAUGUUUAUGGAAGAUCUCUCCAUUGCACAUUGUUUUUUUCAAGACAUCUCAGUCUCCUCUGAACUCUCCAAGCUGGAAUGUACGUGAGGGCUACCCAGGCUCCCAGUCAUCCUGAUUUAGGCACUUCUACCACUACCCUCAUCCUGUAUAUGCAAUGUUUUAACUCUUCUCCACAUCUUUUAGUGUAUGAAGAAAAUUCAAAGGAGCAAAUAGUUUUUGAAAUUGUAGAAUGUAAGACCUACAAUAUAUUACUGUACUUUAUUGAUGAUGUUUUCUCCAUAAU